UUUCCAUAGUGGUGGCAUGGCAAUUGGAUUUUUUGUCAUGGUCCAUAGGAACAGACCAUAGUGCACCUUACACUGGUUCGUAUCAAUUUCCCAAAAUCUGUAUAUCCCUCGAAGAAAAAUAAAUCCCUCUCAUUCAGACUGAAAAAACAAAAAAGGUUCCAACUUUGAGAGAAAGAGGCGUCAAAUUUCUGAAUUGUUUUUUUCUUCAAGAGCUCAGUUCUCUCUUAGUCUCUCUGAAUUCAGCUUAAACCCUUUAAAAACAAUGUUACCAAGCUCAUCAAGUUACAGUAAUGGGUAUUUAGGAAACGGUAGUUCAUCAGAGAAACGAUUGAAUACGAGUACAAAAGAUCGAUUUAAAAGAGGAGGAGGUGGUGGAAUUAGGGUUCCUUCUAAUAAAGAAACACCACCACCACCAUGUACAGAGUUCGAUAAAGCUUAUUUUCAAUCAUAUUCUCAUGUUGGUAUCCAUGAAGAAAUGAUCAAGGACCGUGUUCGUACUGAUACUUAUAAAGCUGCUAUCGAGCAGCAUCAUGCUUCUAUAGAAGGCAAGGUUGUAGUGGAUGUUGGCUGUGGAACUGGCAUCCUUUCUAUAUUUUGUGCUCUUGCUGGUGCAAAGCGGGUUUAUGCAAUUGAUGCAAGUGAGAUUGCUAUACAGGCAAAUGAAGUUGUCAAAGCUAAUAAGUUAUCUCACAAGGUCAUUGUUUUACAUGGAAGAGUGGAGGAUGUCGAAAUCCCGGAGGGGGUUGAUGUUAUCAUUUCGGAAUGGAUGGGAUACAUGCUCUUAUACGAGAGUAUGCUGGGUAGUGUAAUUACUGCCAGAGAUCGUUGGCUUAAACCUGGAGGGCUUAUUCUCCCAUCACAUGCCACGUUGUACAUGGCACCUGUCACACAUUGUGACAGAUACAGUGAAAGUAUUGAUUUCUGGAAGAAUGUUUAUGGAAUUGACAUGUCUGCUAUGCUGCCGCUGGCGAAACAGUGUGCAUUUGAGGAACCAAGUAUAGAGACAAUAACUGGCGAAAAUGUAUUAACAUGGCCAUUCGUGAUAAAGCAUGUGGACUGCUACACUGUCACAAUCCGGGAGCUUGAAUCUAUCACUGCAAGAUAUAGAUUUACAUCUAUGAUGCAAGCCCUGUUUCAUGGGUUUGCGUUUUGGUUUGAUGUUGAGUUCAGCGGACCUGCUAUUUUUCCGAGCAAUAACCAAACACAGUCACUUGUAGGCAGUACUGCAUCAUCUGACAUUCCUUCUCCAGGUUCUAGUCAGAGGAAAAAACGGGCAAAAUGUGAUGAGGUGCUAGUUCUAUCUACUGCUCCAGAGGAGCCUCCAACACAUUGGCAACAGACUUUGUUAUAUUUUUACGAACCGAUAGAUGUGAAGCAAGAUCAAGUCAUUGAAGGCUCUGUAACAAUGUCACAAAGCAAGGAAAACGCCCGAUUCUUGAAUCUCCACCUUGAAUACUCUUCAGGAGGUAGGUCGUUUGUCAAAGAAUCUGUACUGCGAUAGUAAUGUUCUGCUUGCGAACACAGGAUGGCCAUAAGCAAACCAAGUAUUAGCUUCAGCAAAAUGCAGGACCUUCACUUAUCUGAGCACAGAUAACACAGGGACAAUUCCUUCAGCAAGAAGGAAAAAAUGAGACUAAACUAGUAGGUAUUAUUGUACACUUUCUGCUGCUAAAGUACAAAAGAAAGCUUUAUAUACAUUAGAAUAUUGUGUUUUCAUGGUUUCUCCAUUCCCCAUUGUCUUAAGCUAUUCCCUAAAAUAUGCCUUCAAUAGAGCCAAAUUAAAUA